rnacentral:lncRNA from 1 species
GGAUGGGUGGGUCCUCGAAGGUAAGGCCGAGCCUCCUUUCGGACCGAAAAGGCUGGGGGAGGCCGCGCCCUUUGUUUGCUCUGGUAGCGCUGGGGCCCGUUGGGCAGCACCUGUGCUCUUGAUCCCGAGGUGAGCCUCUGAGAGUGAGCGGAGGAGAAGGGAGCUGCGCCCUCUCUUCUGCGGCUCCCUCUUACAGUUGGCUUCUUCCCGCUCUUGGGUGGCCCUCUGCCCCCGUACAACCAGGUGGAUCCGCUUCCACUCCCGGCCCCACUCCCACCCAGGAAACUUUUCAUCUCCGUAAGGCCCUCCUUGGGCCCAUGGGACUGUUCUUCAGAAGCACUCGCCCUUUCACACAGCUCCCUCGUUGCUGGCUUCCUGUGAAAGGAGAUCCAAUACCGUCCCUUUCCAGAACUCGGAGAGAACCCGAGACCGCGUUACUGGGACUUCAAACUGAGGCCGGAAAGCUCAGCUUAAAAGCUGUCCGUGAAGAGGGCUUGGUCUCCCAGAACAGACCCAGUUUUCCUACAACUCAAAUAGAAAGAGCUCCACCCAGUGGCCACUAAGGGUACUCUCGGCACUUCGAGCGUAAAAUUUGCCUCCAUACCCUUCACCACCACAGGGCGGCGCAGUUGUCUACCACCGUCUCUAAGAGGGCGUUGCCAUGCCCAUCCCGCCUGCUGGGCGCUGUAUUUCUCCUGCACACCUGUGAGAGCUGCUCAUUCAUCACCUCUCUCUGGUUUGUUUCAAUAACAAAUAACGAAAAUCAUUACAUUGACUUAAUGAAGCAAGGAGAAGGGAAAAGAAGCAGACCGUUGGUUAGGUCUGGAACCCUGGAACUCUGAACCCUGGACAAAAUCCUUACUCGCUGAUGGCCUUUACGCAGGGCAAACCCCUGGUGUCCCAGACCCUCUUUAGGAAGCUGGGGAUACUAAUACGUGUCCUCCUGGCCUCCUGGAAUGAUUACAGGAUCCGAUGUCUAGUAUGUGCUCAGCACAGAGUCUACCAAAGAGUGGUUUCCGUCAUUUCUGCUUGAGCCUAACAUAGGCCUUGGUAAGUGAACGUCGUGCUCCCCUCGGUUCUUCUGGGAA